UGAUCUGUGGCUUAAUCGGUUAAAGACGACGGUCUAGCGAAUACGGAGUCGUGGGUUCGAAUCCCACCAGAACGU
rnacentral:tRNA from 1 species